rnacentral:miRNA from 1 species
CGUCGGGACCAGGGUCUGGUGCGGAGAGGCCCUCCUCCGGGGAAACGGGGCGCAGCC